UUAUUGUAUGAAACAUGAGAAGGUGAGUGUUCCCCUUGAUAAGGAUGGAACAGGCCCUAGCCUGGACCGUACAAUAUGCAUGUGGUGAAGGCACUGCCAACUACGUCAUGGCAUCUAACCAUGUUUUUGG
ensembl:snRNA